GACGAACGCUGGCGGCGUGGAUUAGGCAUGCAAGUCGGACGGUAGGGCUUUAUCGUAAGAUAGAGUUUGAGAGUGGCGAACGGGUGAGUAACACGUAGGAAUCUACCCUUAAGACGGGGACAACCCAGGGAAACUUGGGCUAAUACCGGAUGAGAGUGCGAGAGAUUGCAUUUAAAAGGAUGGCGAAAGUUGUCGCUUAGGGAUGAGCCUGCGGUCUAUUAGUUAGUUGGUGAGGUAAGAGCUCACCAAGGCGAUGAUAGAUAGGCGGCCUUAACGGGUGGUCGCCCACACUGGGGAUUGAGAUACGGCCCAGACUCCUACGGGAGGCAGCAGUCGAGAAUAGUCUACAAUGGCCGGAAGGCUGAUAGUGCGACGCCGCGUGAACGAGGGACGCCCGUUCGGGGGUGUAAAGUUCUUUUCUAUACGAGCAGUGCUAUAUAUAUGGAUAGUAUAUAUAGAGGGAUAGUAGUAUAGGAAUAAGCAACGGCUAACUCCGUGCCAGCCAGCCCGG
rnacentral:rRNA from 1 species